rnacentral:tRNA from 1 species
GGUUCCGUAGCUCAGUCGGUAGAGCAGAGGACUGAAAAUGGUGGUGUCGCUGGUUCGAUUCCGGCCGGAACCACCA